rnacentral:rRNA from 1 species
ACGGGUGAGUAAUACGUAGGAAUUUACCUAAUGGAGUGGGAUAACCUAGGGAAACUUAGGGUAAUACCGCAUAAGCCUUACGAGGUAAAGCAGGGGACUUUCGGGCCUUGCGCUAUUAGAUGAGCCUACGUCGGAUUAGCUAGUUGGUGGGGUAAAGGCCUACCAAGGCGACGAUCCGUAGCUGGUUUGAGAGGACGACCAGCCACACUGGGACUGAGACACGGCCCAGACUCCUACGGGAGGCAGCAGUGGGGAAUAUUGGACAAUGGGCGCAAGCCUGAUCCAGCAAUGCCGCGUGUGUGAAGAAGGCCUGCGGGUUGUAAAGCACUUUCGGUGGGGAGGAGAGGCUCUAGGCUAAUAUCCUAGAGCGGAGACGUUACCCACAGAAGAAGCACCGGCUAACUCUGUGCCAGCAGCCGCGGUAAUACAGAGGGUGCAAGCGUUAAUCGGAAUUACUGGGCGUAAAGGGUGCGUAGGUGGUUUGAUAAGUUAGGUGUGAAAGUCCUGGGCUUAACCUGGGGACUGCGCCUAAUACUGUUAAGCUAGAGUAUUGUAGAGGAAGGUGGAAUUUCCAGUGUAGCGGU